AUGGCACUAAGUUUAUAAGAUACAAGAAACAGGUGGUCCACUGCUGGAAAGUGGGUGUCCCUUUCCAUAAGCACCGAGUUUCUCAGUGCCUCUUGCUUUGAUUCCUACAAAAUGUACAAAAGUCCACAUAUAUUUGGCAACUGAUCAAAACCCAUUUCUGUACUGUAACCAUUACGUCGUUAGAGAUUCUUAAUUGGGUUUCUGUGAAUCAAUGGCCAGGGGUUCAGGGAGUAAUGGGACUGCAAGUGAGAGAAUUCCACUUUUGAAUGAUGAGGUUGAUUCAAAGAGAAGUGAUGCCCAAUCUACAGAUGGUCGAGUUAGUGAUCUUGAGCAUGGUGAUGCAGUGCAGGCUGCAAAUGUUGGGUUUUGUAGAGUUCUCUCAUUGGCAAAGCCAGAUGCCGGGCAGCUGGUUCUUGCUACUGUUGCAUUACUUAUUGCAUCCACAUCAAGUAUUCUAAUUCCAAAAUAUGGGGGUAUGAUAAUUGACAUUGUUUCAAGAGAAGUGAGAACACAUGAGCAACAAAUUGAAGCAUUAGAUGCUAUCAGGGAUACUAUAUUAGAUAUUGUGGUAAUCGUUGUUAUAGGAUCAAUAUGCACGGCGCUGCGUGCAUGGUUAUUUUCUUCAGCUAGUGAAAGAGUUGUCGCUCGUUUGAGGAAGAACUUAUUCAGGCAUCUUAUUCAACAAGAAAUUGCAUUCUUUGAUGUAACACGAACUGGGGAGCUCCUAAGUCGGCUAUCUGAAGAUACCCAAAUUAUAAAAAAUGCAGCUACUACCAACCUGUCUGAGGCCUUGCGUAAUCUUUCCACCGCAUUUAUUGGUCUGGGCUUCAUGUUCUCAACAUCUUGGAAGCUGACAUUAUUGGCAUUGGCAGUUGUACCAGCCAUUUCAGUUGCUGUACGCAAGUUUGGGCGUUAUCUUCGCGAGCUUUCUCAUAAGACUCAAGCUGCAGCUGCAGUGGCUGCUUCAAUUGCAGAGGAAUCUUUUGGCGCUGUUCGGACAGUUAGAUCUUUUGCACAAGAGGAGUUUGAAAUUGGUCGCUAUGGAGAAAAAGUCGAUGAGACUUUGAAGCUGGGAUUGAAGCAAGCUAUGGUUGUGGGCCUUUUCUCUGGAGGGCUUAAUGCUGCAUCCACAUUAUCUGUUGUCAUUGUGGUGAUUUAUGGAGCCAACUUGACCAUCAAAGGCUUCAUGAGUGCUGGUGAUCUCACUUCAUUUAUACUUUAUAGCCUUACAGUUGGGUCCUCUGUGUCUGCCUUAUCUGGGCUAUAUACAACCACCAUGAAAGCUGCCGGAGCAAGUAGAAGAGUUUUCCAGCUUCUAGAUCGUGUUUCCUCUAUGCCCAAAUCAGGAAAUAAGUGUCCUUUGGGGAAUCAAAUUUACCAUGGAAUUGCUGAUUGUGAUGAUAGUGAUCAAGUUGGUGAUGUGGAAAUUGAUGAUGUUUGGUUUGCAUAUCCUUCUCGUCCUAACCAUAUGGUUCUCCGGGGAGUUUCGCUUAAAUUGACACCAGGUUCUAAGGUUGCUCUUGUUGGUCCUAGUGGUGGUGGAAAAACAACAAUUGCAAACUUAAUUGAAAGAUUUUAUGACCCUCUCAAGGGAAAGAUCCUGCUUAAUGGGUUCCCAUUGGUGGAAAUCUCACAUCAAUAUCUGCACAAACAGGUUAGUAUAGUGAGCCAAGAACCUGUGCUAUUUAACUGCUCCGUGGAAGAAAACAUUGCAUAUGGAUUGAGCGGAAAGGCUAGCAGCAGUGAUAUAGAAAAUGCAGCUGUAAGAAAAUGGCAAAUGCGCAUGAAUUUGUAUCAAAAUUUCCUGAAAAAUACAUGACUCAUGUGGGGGAACGUGGUUUGAGGCUUUCCGGAGGUCAGAAACAGAGGAUUGCAAUUGCAAGGGCAUUGAUGAUGAACCCAAAAGUGCUACUCCUGGAUGAAGCUACAAGUGCUCUGGAUGCUGAGAGUGAAUACCUGGUUCAGGAUGCCAUGGACUCUCUAAUGAAGGGUAGGACGGUGUUGGUCAUAGCCCAUCGUCUCUCGACAGUGCAGAGUGCAGAUACGGUGGCUGUUAUAUCAGACGGGCAGAUUGCGGAGAGUGGGUCCCACCAAGACCUACUUGAUCAUGGUGGGAUCUAUACAGCACUAGUGCGUAGGCAAUUACAGGGGCCCAAAGCUGAUUUUUAGCCUUUUGCUAUCUUUAUUUUGUAUCUCGCAUUCUUGGGGCCAGGAAGGCUUUUGCAUCGUGGCAAUUAUAUUUUCUCCAUUUACUGAAAAAUUGCACUAGAGAAUUAAUUCAAAGAUUGAAUUGAUCUCUAAGCACGUUAAGAAUUUCGUUUAUGUUAGGAUAUUUUUUAUGGAAAAACUGCAUUUAUGCCA